rnacentral:rRNA from 1 species
AACGAACGCUGGCGGCAGGCUUAACACAUGCAAGUCGAGCGCCCCGCAAGGGGAGCGGCAGACGGGUGAGUAACGCGUGGGAACAUACCCUUUGGUUCGGAAUAACUCAGGGAAACUUGAGCUAAUACCGGAUACGUCCGUAAGGAGAAAGAUUUAUCGCCAAAGGAUUGGCCCGCGUCCGAUUAGCUAGUUGGUGAGGUAACGGCUCACCAAGGCUACGAUCGGUAGCUGGUCUGAGAGGAUGAUCAGCCACAUUGGGACUGAGACACGGCCCAAACUCCUACGGGAGGCAGCAGUGGGGAAUAUUGGACAAUGGGCGCAAGCCUGAUCCAGCCAUGCCGCGUGAGUGAUGAAGGCCUUAGGGUUGUAAAGCUCUUUUGUCCGGGAAGAUAAUGACUGUACCGGAAGAAUAAGCCCCGGCUAACUUCGUGCCAGCAGCCGCGGUAAU